UACGUAGGUGGCAAGCGUUGUCCGGAUUUAUUGGGCGUAAAGCGCGCGCAGGCGGUUCUUUAAGUCUGAUGUGAAAGCCCACGGCUCAACCGUGGAGGGUCAUUGGAAACUGGGGAACUUGAGUGCAGAAGAGGAGAGCGGAAUUCCACGUGUAGCGGUGAAAUGCGUAGAUAUUGGGAAGAACACCGGUGGCGAAGGCGGCUCACUGGCUCAUUACUGACGCUCAGGCGCGACAGCGUGGGGAUCAAACAGG
rnacentral:rRNA from 1 species